ensembl:lncRNA novel transcript
AGGGGUGACACAAGGCAUGCAGAAACCCUCGAGGUCCCCUGGAGGGCAGAGUAAACCAUCAACAACAGGUAGUCAGAGCCCAGCCUUAUGGUCUGGAAUUAAGCAUCUAGAAGGAUAGGGAUGACAGGGGGAGGGCAAGAACAGUUAGGACCUCGCUUCUGGAGUAGCUAGAAAAACAUGGAGAGAUGGAAACAAACCAAGGACUGGGACAUGAGGGAAGACAAGCUAGAAGCCCACUUGCCGGGACCAAUUUAUCACAUUAAUAUGGACUAGCCAAGAGGCUGACAAUGCUGUGUCCUUUUGGAGCAAUUAAAGAAAUUCCUGACUGACUCUAACUCAGGAGCAUCUGAAAAUGACCUGGAACCGGAAGACAGUAAAGGUCAUAAAUGAUGUACCUUUUACAUCUGGCAGAGGGCCAGGACAGUUCUGGGGUUCAUAUUUCUCUCCUUCUCUACUCUGAGGUUUAUACGGCCCCCCCACCGCCCCCAAGAUCACCUUGAUGGGACAAUUUGGCCUAUCCAGGCAGGAUCAACAAGAGGAAUUCAAGGAGAAAGCAAAUUGUUUUGCAAAUAGAGUAAGAUAUGUUU